AUUACAAAAUGGAGGAUGAUAAUUUCAAUAUAAUAAAUCUUUAGAUUAUGGAAGUCCACUAGAAUUUUUUUUUUUUUUACUUUAAUGGUGGUGGGAAGGAUAGAGAAAUCUAGUGGAAAUAUCAAGGAUCAGAUUCUACAAGUUUCUGUUUUCUGGUGCAAAUUAUCUCACUGUUGCUGGAUGGAGAUGCAGUUCUGAUUUGGUAUCUCAAGAAACCAUAUGCAGCAACUAAUACUUCCAUUCAGAAAAUGUACAAAGUACUUCUCUUCAAGAAUGUGACUCUGAUCUUCAUGUUUUCAGUGCUUAAAUGUUUUCAUGAUGAGGAGCAGGAAAGGAAUCUGAUGUCUAGAUGAGAUUGGGUGACAAAAGACUUAAUGUAGGGAAUGUUUGGACAUUCUUGAGGCAACAGUGAUUGCUAUCACAAUAAUUAUUCCACUUUACCAGCAAUGCCUCUGUGUUAUGAGUAAUAUAUUUUUAUUUUAACGGUUAACCAGUGUACUCGGAUUGCUCAAACUUACGAAAUAUUUCCUCUAUAAUUUUAUUCCCUCUUGCUAUCUGACAAGAGUUGAGAGAGUCUAUAUUAAUUUGUUCAUUGUUGUGUGCCAGUACUGAGGCAUUUAUUUAAUAUUACUGACUAAAAUAUCUAAAAGUUUGGUAAAUAGAUGUCUGAAUCUAGUUUGUCAUGGAAAUAUAAGUCUGUUCUCAGUUUCACGUGCAUACCAUUCCAGUCAAGUGAUUCAUGCUCACAUGGGUGUGAUAGGCUUGUAUUUCAUGCAGUUAACUGUAAAGACCUUGUAUCAAGUUUGAAAUAUUUUUGUUCCAUCUUAUAUCACACGUUUAUUUUAUAUCACAGUAAUUCUUCUUAAGUUCGGCUCUGGGCUCUCAGAAGUUAGAUUUGUCUUUGCUUUAAACACUUCUUUUCUUUUUUUUUUUUCCCCCAGUAAGUAACAUUCAGCAAUGUGUUAUCCUACUGUUUUUAUUUGGAUCAGCCAUGCAGUUUUGAAGUAAAUCUGUUUGCCUCUACUUUGAUUUGCAUUGUGGAGAGAUCCUAGGGAGUGACCUGGAUGGGAUUCCUUUUGCUCAAAAUAAUGUGAAAGCUGCAGGAAUGUGCCUAAUGCACUCCAGCCACUAUUUUAUGUAAUUGGAGGCUUCAAUCUCCAUAAUUUGUGGAUUGCCAGUAUUAAUGAGAUGUCCUUAAUGAAAAGAGAUUGUUUCAGAUCCUUUGACUAAAUA